GCCAGGUGUGGUGGUGCACACCUGUAAUCCCAGUGACUUAGGAGGCUGAGGCAGGAAGAUCGAAAGUUCAAGGUCAGCCUUGA
rnacentral:sRNA from 1 species